GAAAAUCGGAUUUUUGAGAAUUAAAUUUUUAUUUUUAUUAAAUGAAUUUAAUUAAUUAUUUAUGGAGCAAGCUAAUCGAACGUCGUUCUUUGACCUAUGUGUCAGAAUGUCGUAGGAUUUUGGCUACAUGGUAGAAUUAAAGUGUUUGAAUUUUCAAAACGAAAAUAAAAGCUUUCCGAGAAAUUUUUCGAAAAACACUAUUCACGCAUUUCUGCUCGGGAAUUAUUUUUGAACUUUCGAGAAAUACGUAACGAUAGAAUAUCGAUGUGAGAUGGAAUAUCCAAUAAUAUUUCAGUUAUGGAAAACGUAAUAUUUCACCUGUGGACUUAAAACCUAACGUUUAGGGAAAAUGAUUUACGAAAAGGAAAUAUAAUACGAUUGAUAAAGUAAAGCGAUGAUCGUAUGUAUUGUACGAGGUAAUGAAUAUGAAUACUACAUGAGGUAGUAUACGAGAAUGUAUGAAUGAUGGUAUAUCGUAUAUGAAUAAUAAGUAUACGAGUUAGAAUACGAGAAUUAUACGUGGAGUAUAUGUUGUAAGGCUUUAAGCCAAUUGUAAUGAAUUAGUAGGAUUGUGUAGGAAAUGGUUAAGUCCAAUAGAAUUAAUGUACAAGCCUAAGUGUUUGUAAUAUGAAGCCCAAUGUAAAUUAAUGUGAAGCCCAAAAUAAGUUAAGGAUCAAAGCCCAAGUGUUUGAUAAUGCAAGCCCAAAUGAGUUAAGUAAAUUAAUUAAUCUAAGGCCCAAAGUAAAUAUCCAAUGGGUUAAGAGUUGGUUUAAACCUAUGAGGCAAACCAUGGAUGAUCCAAAUUAGGGAGCAAGUAAACUUAGAGGCUAAGUAAGUGUGGUGAACACAUAAAGUGAUUAAUGUGAUGACAAAGUAAACUUAAGGACUAAGUGUUGUGGGGAGCAAGUAUACUUAAUGAUUAAGUAAGUGUGGUGACCAAGUGUUGUGAUUAGCAAGAGACUUAAGGGCUAAGCAAUGGAUAACUUAUGUGGUGAGCAAGUAAAUGUGGGGAGCAAGUUUACUUGGUUGCUAAGCUUUGAAUAGUAAGGAGGUGGAUUAAGGAGGUGGAGUGGCUUUGAGACCAAACUACCCUCACUUUAGAAAUCCUAUAAAUAGAGGAGGAGUGGGCUCAUUAUUUGGUUGUUAGUUUUCAUCCAUUUCAAAGCAACUUAAGUGUUAGAGAGGAUAAGCACUUUGAUGCUUAACUUCUAUUAUUUGAUUUUCCACCAAUAACUUAUAGCUUAGUGACUUGAGAGAAAAAGCUAGGAAGCUAGUCUUUGAAGUUCAAGGAUCAAGAAGGAGAUUAAAGAUUGAGCAAGGCAUAGUCAAGUGAAUAUCAAAGAGUAAGUGAUCCUAAGCCAUGAUUUUCUUUCUCUUCCAUUAGUAGAGAAGGGGGUAUUGGUAGAGCUAGUAUGUUAAGGAAUGAUAAACCAAAGGGCUUAAGUCUUAAUAAGCCGUAUAAAUCAUGAAUAAGCUAUUCUUAUUCAUUUAAGUUACGAACUUGUGAAGAACAAUAAUGAAAGUAUAAGAACUUGUGAGAAGUGGUAAUAUGUUUACAUUAAGAAGUUAGCAUGAUUAAUAAGAGGUAAGAAUAAGGAUUAAAGGACUUAACUUAUUAAUAAGUCAUAAGCAAUGAAAUUAAGUAUGUUAUACUUUAAUAAGUAGUUUAUAAGUUUAUGAGUUUUGAACUUAUUAAGAACAAUUAAUAACUUAUCAUGUUUAU
rnacentral:lncRNA from 1 species